rnacentral:tRNA from 1 species
GCCUGGGUAGCUCAGUCGGUGAAGCGUCCGACUUCAGCUGAGGUCAUGUUCUCACCAUUCGUGAGUUCGAGCCUCGCUUCAGGCU